rnacentral:rRNA from 1 species
UACGUAGGGCGCAAGCGUUGUCCGGAAUUAUUGGGCGUAAAGAGCUCGUAGGCGGCCUGUUACGUCUGCUGUGAAAUCCCGGGGCUUAACCCCGGGCCUGCAGCCGAUACGGGCGGACUAGAAUUCGGUAGGGGAGACUGGAAUUCCUGGUGUAGCGGUGAAAUGCGCAGAUAUCAGGAGGAACACCGGUGGCGAAGGCGGGUCUCUGGGCCGAUAUUGACGCUGAGGAGCGAAAGCGUGGGGAGCGAACAGG